UAAGGAAUAUUGGUCAAUGGGCGCAAGCCUGAACCAGCCAUGCCGCGUGCAGGAAGACGGCCCUAUGGGUUGUAAACUGCUUUUGUCAGGGAAUAAACCCCCGCUCGUGAGCGGGGCUGAAGGUACCUGAAGAAUAAGCAUCGGCUAACUCCGUG
rnacentral:rRNA from 1 species